CUGGGUAUAAUACCCAAUAGAUCUCGGAAGCUGGAAUGCAUCGAGAUCGAAAGCUCCGGUGCCCAAGGAUGGGUCUGCGGCCUAUCAGGUAGUAGUGGGUGCAGCGUACCUACUAGCCUACGACGGGUACGGGUUGUGAGAGCAAGAGCCCGGAGAUGGAUUCUAAGACACGAAUCCAGGCCCUACGGGGUGCAGCAGGCGCGAAAACUUUACAAUGCUGGAAACAGCGAUAAGGGGAUCUCGAGUGCCAGGUUACAAAUCUGGCUGUCGUGAUGCCUAAGAAGCAUUGCAUAGCAAGGGCCGGGCAAGACCGGUGCCAGCCGCCGCGGUAACACCGGCGGCUCGAGUGGUAACCGUUAUUAUUGGGUCUAAAGGGUCUGUAGCCGGCCGGAUAAGUCUCUUGGGAAAUCUGGCAGCUUAACUGUCAGGCUUUCAGGGGAUACUGUCUGGCUCGAGGCCGGGAGAGGUGAGAGGUACUUCAGGGGUAGGGGUGAAAUCUUGUAAUCCUUGAAGGACCACCAGUGGCGAAGGCGUCUCACCAGAACGGACCUGACGGCAAGGGACGAAAGCUAGGGGCACGAACCGGAUUAGAUACCCGGGUAGUCCUAGCCGUAAACGAUACUCGCUAGGUGUCGGCCACGGUGCGACCGUGGUCGGUGCCGUAGGGAAGCCGUGAAGCGAGCCACCUGGGAAGUACGGCCGCAAGGCUGAAACUUAAAGGAAUUGGCGGGGGAGCACCACAACGGGUGGAGCUUGCGGUUUAAUUGGAUUCAACGCCGGAAAUCUUACCGGGACCGACAGCAAUAUGAAGGCCAGGCUGAAGACUUUGCCGGAUUAGCUGAGAGGUGGUGCAUGGCCGUCGUCAGUUCGUACUGUGAAGCAUCCUGUUAAGUCAGGCAACGAGCGAGACCCACGCCCACAGUUGCCAGCGUACUCUCCGGAGUGACGGGUACACUGUGGGGACCGCCGCUGCUAAAGCGGAGGAAGGAAUGGGCAACGGUAGGUCAGUAUGCCCCGAAUAUCCCGGGCUACACGCGAGCUACAAUGGUUGGUACAAUGGGUAUCUACCCCGAAAGGGGAUGGAAAUCUCCUAAAGCCAAUCUUAGUUCGGAUUGAGGGCUGCAACUCGCCCUCAUGAAGCUGGAAUCCGUAGUAAUCGCGUUUCAACAGAACGCGGUGAAUACGUCCCUGCUCCUUGCACACACCGCCCGUCAAACCACCCGAGU
rnacentral:rRNA from 1 species